GUCCACGCAGUAAACGAUGAAUACUAAUUGUUCGGACUGAUUGAAGUCUGAGUGAUACAGCGAAAGCGUUAAGUAUUCCACCUGGGGAGUACGCCGGCAACGGUGAAACUCAAAGGAAUUGACGGGGGCCCGCACAAGCGGAGGAACAUGUGGUUUAAUUCGAUGAUACGCGAGGAACCUUACCCGGGCUCAAACGACGGAUGAAUACUUUUGAAAGGAGGUAGUCAGCAAUGACAUCCGUCGAGGUGCUGCAUGGUUGUCGU
rnacentral:rRNA from 1 species